rnacentral:rRNA from 1 species
CGGGGGGGGCAAGCGUUGUUCGGAAUUACUGGGCGUAAAGGGCUCGUAGGCGGCCAACUAAGUCGGAUGUGAAAUCCCCAGGCUCAACUUGGGAACUGCAUCCGAUACUGGAUGGCUUGAAUCCGGGAGAGGGAUGCAGAAUUCCAGGUGUAGCGGUGAAAUGCGUAGAUAUCUGGAGGAAUACCGGUGGCGAAGGCGGCAUCCUAGACCGGCAUUGACGCUGAUGAGCGAAAGCUAGGGGAGCAAACGGGAUUAGAUACCCCGGUAGUCCUAGCCCUAAACGAUGAAUGCUUGGUGUGGCGGGUAUCGAUCCCUGCCGUGCCGAAGCUAACGCAUUAAGCAUUCCGCCUGGGGAGUACGGUCGCAAGGCUG